CAGUCGCCGCGGGAAUACGAAGGGUGCAAGCGUUACUCGGAAUUACUGGGCGUAAAGCGUGCGUAGGUGGUGGUUUAAGUCCGUUGUGAAAGCCCUGGGCUCAACCUGGGAAUUGCAGUGGAUACUGGGUCACUAGAGUGUGGUAGAGGAUAGUGGAAUUUCCGGUGUAGCAGUGAAAUGCGUAGAGAUCGGAAGGAACAUCUGUGGCGAAGGCGACUAUCUGGGCCAACACUGACACUGAGGCACGAAAGCGUGUGGAGCAAACAGGAUUAGAGACCCGCGUAGUCCCUGUCUCUUAUAC
rnacentral:rRNA from 1 species